UAAUACAUGCAAGUCGAGCGAACAGAUAAGGAGCUUGCUCCUUUGACGUUAGCGGCGGACGGGUGAGUAACACGUGGGUAACCUACCUAUAAGACUGGGAUAACUUCGGGAAACCGGAGCUAAUACCGGAUAACAUUUGGAACCGCAUGGUUCUAAAGUGAAAGAUGGUUUUGCUAUCACUUAUAGAUGGACCCGCGCCGUAUUAGCUAGUUGGUAAGGUAACGGCUUACCAAGGCGACGAUACGUAGCCGACCUGAGAGGGUGAUCGGCCACACUGGAACUGAGACACGGUCCAGACUCCUACGGGAGGCAGCAGUAGGGAAUCUUCCGCAAUGGGCGAAAGCCUGACGGAGCAACGCCGCGUGAGUGAUGAAGGGUUUCGGCUCGUAAAACUCUGUUAUUAGGGAAGAACAAAUGUGUAAGUAACUGUGCACGUCUUGACGGUACCUAAUCAGAAAGCCACGGCUAACUACGUGCCAGCAGCCGCGGUAAUACGUAGGUGGCAAGCGUUAUCCGGAAUUAUUGGGCGUAAAGCGCGCGUAGGCGGUUUCUUAAGUCUGAUGUGAAAGCCCACGGCUCAACCGUGGAGGGUCAUUGGAAACUGGGAAACUUGAGUGCAGAAGAGGAAAGUGGAAUUCCAUGUGUAGCGGUGAAAUGCGCAGAGAUAUGGAGGAACACCAGUGGCGAAGGCGACUUUCUGGUCUGUAACUGACGCUGAUGUGCGAAAGCGUGGGGAUCAAACAGGAUUAGAUACCCUGGUAGUCCACGCCGUAAACGAUGAGUGCUAAGUGUUAGGGGGUUUCCGCCCCUUAGUGCUGCAGCUAACGCAUUAAGCACUCCGCCUGGGGAGUACGACCGCAAGGUUGAAACUCAAAGGAAUUGACGGGGACCCGCACAAGCGGUGGAGCAUGUGGUUUAAUUCGAAGCAACGCGAAGAACCUUACCAAAUCUUGACAUCCUUUGAAAACUCUAGAGAUAGAGCCUUCCCCUUCGGGGGACAAAGUGACAGGUGGUGCAUGGUUGUCGUCAGCUCGUGUCGUGAGAUGUUGGGUUAAGUCCCGCAACGAGCGCAACCCUUAAGCUUAGUUGCCAUCAUUAAGUUGGGCACUCUAGGUUGACUGCCGGUGACAAACCGGAGGAAGGUGGGGAUGACGUCAAAUCAUCAUGCCCCUUAUGAUUUGGGCUACACACGUGCUACAAUGGACAAUACAAAGGGCAGCUAAACCGCGAGGUCAUGCAAAUCCCAUAAAGUUGUUCUCAGUUCGGAUUGUAGUCUGCAACUCGACUACAUGAAGCUGGAAUCGCUAGUAAUCGUAGAUCAGCAUGCUACGGUGAAUACGUUCCCGGGUCUUGUACACACCGCCCGUCACACCACGAGAGUUUGUAACACCCGAAGCCGGUGGAGUAACCAUUUAUGGAGCUAGCCGUCGAAAGGUGA
rnacentral:rRNA from 1 species